CUUAAAGGAAUUGACGGGGACCCGCACAAGCGGUGGAUGAUGUGGUUUAAUUCGAUGCAACGCGAAAAACCUUACCCACCUUUGACAUGUACGGAACCCUUUGGAGACAGAGGGGUGCUCGAAAGAGAGCCGUAACACAGGUGCUGCAUGGCUGUCGUCAGCUCGUGUCGUGAGAUGUUGGGUUAAGUCCCGCAACGAGCGCAACCCUUGUCAUUAGUUGCUACGAAAGGGCACUCUAAUGAGACUGCCGGUGACAAGCCGGAGGAAGGUGGGGAUGACGUCAAGUCCUCAUGGCCCUUAUAGGUGGGGCUACACACGUCAUACAAUGGCUGGUACAGAGGGUUGCCAACCCGCGAGGGGGAGCCAAUCCCAUAAAACCAGUCGUAGUCCGGAUCGCAGUCUGCAACUCGACUGCGUGAAGUCGGAAUCGCUAGUAAUCGCGGAUCAGCAUGUCGCGGUGAAUACGUUCCCGGGUCUUGUACACACCGCCCGUCACACCAUGGGAGCGGGUUCUGCCAGA
rnacentral:rRNA from 1 species